rnacentral:rRNA from 2 species
AUGAGAAGCUUGCUUCUCUGAUGUUAGCGGCGGAGGGUGAGUAACACGUGGGUAACCUGCCUAUAAGACUGGGAUAACUCCGGGAAACCGGGGCUAAUACCGGAUAAUAUUUUGAACCGCAUGGUUCAAUAUUGAAAGGCGGUUUCGGCUGUCACUUAUAGAUGGACCCGCGCCGUAUUAGCUAGUUGGUAAGGUAACGGCUUACCAAGGCGACGAUACGUAGCCGACCUGAGAGGGUGAUCGGCCACACUGGGACUGAGACACGGUCCAGACUCCUACGGGAGGCAGCAGUAGGGAAUCUUCCGCAAUGGGCGAAAGCCUGACGGAGCAACGCCGCGUGAGUGAUGAAGGUCUUCGGAUCGUAAAACUCUGUUGUUAGGGAAGAACAAAUUUGUUAGUAACUGAACAAGUCUUGACGGUACCUAACCAGAAAGCCACGGCUAACUACGUGCCAGCAGCCGCGGUAAUACGUAAGUGGCAAGCGUUAUCCGGAAUUAUUGGGCGUAAAGCGCGCGUAGGCGGUUUCUUAAGUCUGAUGUGAAAGCCCACGGCUCAACCGUGGAGGGUCAUUGGAAACUGGGAAA